CCUCUUCUCUCUCAUGCCUGCCACUAGUUCUCUUUAUGUCAACACUUUGUUGUUUCAGAUUUCAAUGCUUUAGCUAAAUUAUUAGAAUUUUCAUUAUCAAAUGUGAUUAUUUCAAUGAAAAUUUUGGAGUUUCCUUUUGGGGAUAUAUUAAUGAUGAAUUUUUUCGUUCUUUACAGGAUGAGUAAAUUCAUGGAAGAAGUGGAGAGUAUUGCAAUCAACGACGGAGAAUCUCCACCGUACGCGGCUGUUCUGAGUGACGGCAAAAUUUCUACCAUAGUCCUUGUAUAGUUCACAAGCAUGGUGCUAAUAUUCUCCAGGACCGUUGGUUUGAUAAGAAGGGAUGCCUUAUGCAAAUGAAGAUAAUCCUGAUCCAAUGUCUUCCUCCAACUCAACCAAGCCAAAAAAAAUCUUCUUCGUCAAAAAAUAUUUUAUUUGAAUGGCAGGAUCAUUGCUUCGAGUUGCUUAGUUUUUCUCAAAUGAAUUUUUCAAGUGGUGAAAUGUUUUUGAACUCGAUCUAAACUAUUGCAAUUUCUUUCAUUAAUAUAUUAAAGUUUUAUUUGGA